rnacentral:rRNA from 1 species
GACGAACGCUGGCGGCGUGCUUAACACAUGCAAGUCGAACGGUGAAGCGCCUUCCUUUUUGGUGGGUGUGGAGGAGUGGCGAACUGGUGAGUAACACGUUAGUAACCUGCCCCCUUCUUCUGGAUAACCGCAUGAAAGUGUGGCUAAUACGGGAUAUUCUGGGUCUGUCGCAUGAUGGGUCUGGGAAAGAUUUUGUUUCGGUGGGGGAUGGGCUCGCGGCCUAUCAGCUUGUUGGUGGGGUGAUGGCCUACCAAGGCGGUGACGGGUAGCCGGCCUGAGAGGGUGGACGGUCCCACUGGGACUGAGACACGGACCAGACUCCUACGGGAGGCAGCAGUGGGGAAUAUUGCACAAUGGGCGCAAGCCUGAUGCAGCGACGCCGCGUGAGGGAUGGAGGCCGUCGGGUUGUGAACCUCUUUCGCCAGUGAAGCAGGCCUGCCUCGUUUGUGGGUGGGUUGACGGUAGCUGGAUAAGAAGCGCCGGCUAACUACGUG